rnacentral:rRNA from 1 species
UACGUAGGUGGCAAGCGUUGUCCGGAUUUAUUGGGUUAAAGGGUGCGUAGGCGGCCCUGUAAGUCAGUGCUGAAAUCCCCGGCUUAACCGGGGUGGUGGCAUUGAUACUGCAGGGCUUGAGUACAGAUGAGGUAGGCGGAAUUGACGGUGUAGCGGUGAAAUGCAUAGAUAUGUCACAGAACACCGAUUGCGAAGGCAGCUUACUAUGGUGUCAUUGACGCUGAGGCACGAAAGCGUGGGGAUCAAACAGG